rnacentral:tRNA from 1 species
AAAUCCUUUUCAUAGUA